UGGGGAAUUUUGGACAAUGGGCGCAAGCCUGAUCCAGCCAUGCCGCGUGUCUGAAGAAGGCCUUCGGGUUGUAAAGGACUUUUGUCAGGGAAGAAAAGGACAGGGUUAAUACCUCUGUUUGAUGACGGUACCUGAAGAAUAAGCACCGGCUAACUACGUGCCAGCAGCCGCGGUAAUACGUAGGGUGCGAGCGUUAAUCGGAAUUACUGGGCGUAAAGCGAGCGCAGACGGUUACUUAAGCAGGAUGUGAAAUCCCCGGGCUCAACCUGGGAACUGCGUUCUGAACUGGGUGACUAGAGUGUGUCAGAGGGAGGUAGAAUUCCACGUGUAGCAGUGAAAUGCGUAGAGAUGUGGAGGAAUACCGAUGGCGAAGGCAGCCUCCUGGGAUAACACUGACGUUCAUGCUCGAAAGCGUGGGUAGCAAACAGGAUUAGAUACCCUGGUAGUCCACGCCCUAAACGAUGUCAAUUAGCUGUUGGGCAACUUGAUUGCUUAGUAGCGUAGCUAACGCGUGAAAUUGACCGCCUGGGGAGUACGGUCGCAGAUU
rnacentral:rRNA from 1 species